GUUAUGAUAGCACUGAAAUACCAUCUAGCUUUUACCCCCAUCCCUCGGUGGGCUAUGCAGAGCUCGCAUCUGAGCCGCUACUAGAGCAUACUCCAUCCAUCACCGCAUCUGCUUUGGCUUUGCAGGCACAUACUCCUCCUACCGGCAUAUUUGAGCCUCCAUCACCAGUCACGUCUCUAGCACAUACUCCACCCAUCGAUGAGGCUCACCGGUAUCCACGUCAC
rnacentral:lncRNA from 1 species